AGCCUGGGACUGCAGCCUA
rnacentral:piRNA from 1 species